AUACUGCUGAAGAGUCCCAAACUAGAACGAAACAACUGUCCAGUAC
rnacentral:hammerhead_ribozyme from 1 species